AUUGAACGCUGGCGGCAGGCCUAACACAUGCAAGUCGACCGAGUGGCGGACGGGUGAGUAAUGUCUGGGAAACUGCCUGAUGGAGGGGGAUAACUACUGGAAACGGUAGCUAAUACCGCAUACCAUCGGAUGUUCCCAGAUGGGAUUGGCUAGUAGGUGGGGUAAAGGCUCCCCUAGGCGACGAUCCCUCGCUGGUCUGAGAGGAUGCCCAGCAACACUGGAACGGAGACACGGGCCAGACUCCUACGGGAGGCAGCAGUGGGGAAUAUUGAACAAUGGGCGAAAGCCUGAUGCAGCCAUGCCGCGUGUGUGAAGAAGGCCUUCGGGUUGUAAAGCACUUUCAGCGAGGAGGCGGUACUCGCAGAAGAAGCACCGGCUAACUCCGUGCCAGCAGCCGCGGUAAUUC
rnacentral:rRNA from 1 species